UUUUUUUUCUUCUUUCAAUUAUACUCUUUUUGCCCCCUCAUCUACCUCAUGUAAUUUAACCCCCUACAAUUAUUAAAUUAUUAAUUAAUUUUUUAGCUUCUUUCAAUUAUACACUUUGAAUUCUAUCACUAACAUACCUGCUGUGACGCUUCAUCUUCCUACUCAAUAAAUGAAUAGAUUUGGAAUGAAAAAAGAAGUGAGAAAAAGGGAGUAGUAGUGAUGGGGGGAAGCUCAUGAGGGAGAUUAAAUGGGGUUGUGGGUUUUGAU
rnacentral:lncRNA from 1 species